rnacentral:rRNA from 1 species
UACAGAGGGGGCAAGCGUUGUUCGGAAUUACUGGGCGUAAAGGGCGCGUAGGCGGCCUGCUAAGUCGAACGUGAAAUCCCCGGGCUCAACCCGGGAACUGCGUCCGAUACUGACAGGCUUGAAUCCGGGAGAGGGAUGUGGAAUUCCAGGUGUAGCGGUGAAAUGCGUAGAUAUCUGGAGGAACACCGGUGGCGAAGGCGGGUUGCUGGGCUGACACUGACGCUGAUGCGCGAAAGCCAGGGGAGCGAACGGG